CCCCCGUUGACCAGGUCACCCCAUAGACCAGUGCUACAAAAGCCACCACUGAUCAAGUCCUCUCUGACCAGGCCCCCACUGAUUAGGUUCCACUGACCUGACCAGGCUGCCAUGACCAGGGUCCCACUGACAAGGGUCUCACUGAUGAGGACAUGCCCUGCUGACUAGGUGCCAUGUGACCAGGCCUCCACUGAAUAGCACCCCUUGACCGGGUCACCAGUGACCCAGCCCAUUCUGACAAGGCUACCACUAAGCCACAGCUGACCAGGUCUCCACUCACCAAGCCCUGCAGCCCAGGUUUGCACUGACCAGACACCAAACAUUUGUCUGCCACUAGGUCCCCACUCACCAAGACCUGCACUACUCGAUCCCUCUAAUGAGACCCUCUCUAAGCAGACCCUGGCUGACCAUUCCCCCAGUAAAUAGGCCUCACUGACCAAGUCCCAACUGACUAGUUCACUGACCAGGCCCACACUGACCAGGCCCUUCCUAAUCAUACCAGAAGGCCAAGUGGCAAUGAGAUGUUUCAUAUGGCAGGGGUAGGAGCAAGACAGAGAGAGGAAAGAGGUACCACACCCUGUUAGACAACCAGAUCACAUGAGGUCUCACUAUCAGGAGAUCAGCAUCAAGAAGAUCCUGCACCCACACCACCGCCCACUGUUUCCAGGCAGAAGCCUCCUGCAGAGGCCAAGCCUCUUGAGAAACUUCCACUAUGGCAGUGCAGAAGGAAAAUAUGGGCUUGGAGCCCCCAAAAAGGAGGCCACCAUCCUCCAGAUCCCGGAUUCAUAGGCCCACCAACAGCUCACACCCUCAGUAUGGAAAAGCUACAGGCACUCAACACCAGCCCAGCCCAUGAGAGCAGCCAUGGGGCUAAAGCCUGCAAAGCCACAGGUGCACUGCCCUAGUAGAGGUUUUCCAUGAGCCUCUGCCUCUGCAGAAGGCUACUCCCCCUUCCUACUACCCCCCAUCCUCCUACCACCCUACUGACAACCUACUCCUCCCCACCCUACCCCUCCUUUUCCUACCACCCCGAACCCCCUCCCAUUCAAGAUUAAAUCGCCUACCACCAGGCCCCAAAAUUAAGGAUUACAAUUCCAUAUGAGUUUUAUAUGGACACACAGUCAAUCCAUAUUAUUUGACCCAGAUACCCCAGAACCUCAUGUCCUUCUCACACAGCAAAACACAGUCAUGCAUGUUCAAAAGUUUCCAAAAUUCUUAACUCAUUCCAAAUAUAAAAAAUUCAAAGUCUCAUCUGAGACAAGGCUACAGUCCCUUCGGCCUAUCAGUCCCUGAGUUCAAAAGGCAUUUCUUUUCUUUCAAGAUACAAUGAUAGUACAAGCAUUAAGUAAGGUUUCUCAAUCCAAAGGGAAGAAAUUCCCCAGAAAAAUGACAAAAAUGUCAGUCCAAACCCCAGCAGGACAAUAUUCACUCAAUCUUUAAGCUCCAUAAUCAUCAAGAGAACUCACUAUCACGCAGACAGUAUUAAGGAGAUAGUGUUUCACCAGUUGUGAAGAAUCCGUCCCCCCUCAUUUUUCACCCCCACCCACAAAAUAAUCUCUCCUAUUCUCCCCACUCCCCCACCUCCAACCCCCACUCUUCUCCAUGAUUAAAUCAUCUCCCACCAGGCCCCACCUUUAACAUUCCCCAUUACAAUUUCACGAGAGUAUUGGUAGUGACACAGGGCCAAAUCAUAUUAUUCUCACCCAGGUCCCCCCACAUCUCAUAUCGUUGUCACACUGCAAAAUACAAUGAUGCCUUCUCUACAGUCCCCCAAAGUCUUAACUCAUUCCAGCAUUUACUGAAAUGUCCAAAGCCCAGUCUCAUCUGAGACAACGCUGCCAUCCCUUCUGCUCGAGCCUCUGAAAUACAAAGCAAGUUAACUACUUCCAAGGUACAAUGAUUGUAGAGACAUUGGGUAAGCAUUCCCAGCCAAAAGGAAGAAAUUUGUCAGAGGGAAGCACAAAACACAGAUGGGACUUGCAGACCCCAUGCAAGUCAAAAACCCAGCAGGAAAGUCAUUCCAUCCUACAGCUCCAAAUCAUCUUUCCUGAAAGGAUCUACAUCCCACAUCUAGAGCACAAGAGUGGAUGGCGGGGCUCCCAAGGCCUUGGGCAGCUCAGCUUCUGUGGCUGUGCAGGGUCUUUCCCCACAGCUGCCCUCGUGGGCUGGGCUGGUGGUCAGUGCCUGUGGCUUUCCCACACUGAGGGUGCAAGCAGUUGGUGGGUCUAUGAAUCUGGGGUCUGGAAAAUGGUUCCUCCCUGUAUGGGGGCAUCAACCCUGUAUGUUCCUUCUGCACUGCCCUAGUAAAGGUUUCCCAUGAGGCUCUGCCUCUUGGAAAAGCUUCUGCCCAGCUGGACACUGAGGUUUUUCCUUACAUACUCUUGAGUCUAGACAAAGGCUCCCAAGCCUGUGCACCUGCUGGCUUAACACUAUGUGGAAGCCACCAAGGCUUGCAGCUUGCACCCUCUGAAGCAGUGACCCAAGCUGUACCUGUGCAUCUUUCAGCCAUGGCUGGAGCUGGAGCUGGAGCUGCAGGGAUGCAGGCGGCACUGUCCUGAGGAUGGACACAGCAGCGCGACCAUGGGACUGACCCAGGAAACCAUUCUUUGGUCCUAGAACUCAGGGCCUUUGACAGCAAGCUCUGCUGCAAAGGUCUCUGAAAUGCCUUCAAGGCCUUUUUAACAUUGUCUUAGCUAUUAGCACUGGGCUCCAUUUUAUGCACAUUUCUGAAGCCUUCUUGAAUUUUCCCACUAAAAAUCAGCUUUUCUUUUUGACCUCUUGGGCAGGCUGCAAAUCAAACUUCAAAGCUCUGCUUCUCAUUUAAAUAUAAGUUUCAACUUGAGGUCAUUUAUUUGGUCACACAGAACACCACAGGCUGUUCAAUACAGACAAGAUACCUCUUGAGCUUUGCUGCCUAGAAGUUCAUUUCACCAGAUAUACCCUAAAUCAUCACCCUCAAGUUCAAAGUUUCACAGGUCACCAGGGCAGGGGCACCAUCCAGCCAAGUUCUUUGCUAAGGCAAAAGAAAAGUUACCUUGGCUUCUGCUCCCAGUAAGUUGUUCAUUUUCAUCUGAGACCUUCUAAGCCUGGCCUUCACUAUCCAUCCUUCAGUCACCCUUUUAAUUAUAACUAUUUAACACAUCUCUACAAUAGUCAAAACUUUCAUUCAUCUUUCUGUCUUCUUCCAAGCCCUCCAAACUGUGCAGCCUGCGGUCGUUACCCAGCUUCUGAACCUGCUUCUGAACUUGCGUCUACACUUUCAGCUAUCGUUGUGACAGCCUGGCAGUGUGGUAAAAGAAAAAAAGUCCAUUUUCAGGGGGAAAAUUCAAGAAGGCUUCAGAUAUUUGCAUAUAAAAGAAGCCAAAUGUUAAUAGUAAAAAAUCAGGAAAAAAACCUUGAGGGCAUUUCAUAGCUCCACUCUACAGUACAAAUUUUCUGUAGUAUUAUUUUAAAAAGAGGUUUAAUUGGCUCACGGUUCUGCAGGCUGUAAAGGGAACAUAGUGGCUUCUGCUUCUGGGAGGACUCAGGAAGUCUCCUACCAUACCAGAAGGCCAAGCGACAAUGAGAUGUUCCAUAUGGCAGGUGUAGGAGGAAGACAGAGAGAGGAAAGAGGUGCCACACUUGUUAUACAACCAGAUCUCAUGAGAACUCAGUAUCAGGAGAUCAGCAUCAAGAAGAUUAACCAUUGGUGAAGGAUCCACCCACACCACCCCCCACUGUUUCCACGUAGAAGCCUCCUGCAGAGGCAGAGCCUCUUGGAGAACCUCUACCAGGGCAGUGCAGAAGGAAAAUGUAGGCUUGGAGCCCACAUACAGGAGGCCACCAUCCUCCAGACUGCAGAUUCAUAGACCCACCAACAGCUUGCACUCUCAGAGCAGAAAAGCUACAGGCACUCCACACGAGCCCAGCCCAUGACAGCAGCCAUGGGGGCUACACCCUGCAAAGCCACAGGUGCCCUGCCCUAGUAGAGACUUUCCAUGAGCCUCUGCUUCUGAAGCAGGUUACUCCCCCCUCCUAGUACCCACCACCCUACUAACAACCUACUCCUCACCCUACCCACCCCUUUCCUUCCAUCCCCGGUCCCCCUCCCAUCCAUGAUUAAAUCACCUCCAGCCAGGUCCCACCUCCAACAUUAAGGAUUACAAUUCACAUGAGUUUUGGUAAAGAAACACAGCCAAAUCAUAUUAUUCUGACCUGAUACCCUGCAGUCUCUUGUCCUUCUCACAGAGCAAAAUAUAUUCAUGUCUUUUCAAAAUUUUCCAAAAGUCUUAACUCAUUCCAACAAUAACUCAAAUGUAAAAAAUUCAACAUCUCAUCUGAGACAAGUCUACAGUACCUUUUGCCUAUGAGUCCCUGAAUUUAAAAGGAUGUUCUUUCUUUCAAGGUACAAUAAUGGUACAGGCAUUGGGUAAGCUUUUUCAAUCCAAAGGGCAGAAAUUUCCCAGGAAAAUAACACAAAUGGGACCACAGGCCCAAUGCAAGUCCAAAACCCAGGAGGCCAGUAUCCAUUUAAUCUUACAGUUCUAAAAUCAUGAAAAGAACUCACCGUCACAAGGACAGCAAUAAGGAGAUAGUGUUUAAUGAUUUGUGAAGGAUCUGACCCCCCACCCCAAUUUUCACCCCUCACCCCCACCAUAAUUCCCCCAUUUUCCCUACACCCCCAUCUUCCAACCCCCACUCUGCACCAUGAUUAAAUCAUCUUCCACCAGGCCCCACCUUUAACAUUCCAAUUACAAUUCCACAUGAGUUUUGGUAGGGACACAGAGCUGAAUUUUAUUAUUCUUUCCCUCACUCCCCAAAUCUCAUGUCCUUCUCACAUUGCAAAAUACAAUGAUGCCUUCCCUAAAGUCCCAUAAAAUCUUAUAUCAUUCCAGCAUUUAUACAAAUGUCCAAAGCCUAAAGUCUCAUCUGACACAAGGCUACAGUCCCUUAGGCCCAUGAGCCUCUGAAAUAUAAAGCAAGUUAACUACUUCCAAGGUACAAUGCUUGUACAGGCAUUGGGUAAGCAUUCCCAGCCAAAAGGAAGAAUUUUGCCAGAAAAAAAAACAAAACACAGAUAGGACUUACUGGCCCCAUGAAACUCCAAACCCAGAAGGCCAGUCAUUCAAUCCUACAGCUCCAAAAUCACCCUUUUUGAAACCCUGUCCCACAUCCAGGACACAGGGGUGUGAGGGCUGGGCUCCCAAGGCCUCGGGCAGCUUGGCACCUGUGGCUUUGCAGGGUAUAUGCCCCAAGGGUGCCCUCAUGGGCUGGGCUGGUGAUGAGUGCCUGUGACUUUUCCACAUUGAGGAAACAAGUUUUGGGGGGGGGGGUCUAUGAAUCUGGGGUCUGCAUGAUGGUGGUCUCCAGUGUGGGAGUUCCAACCCCAUAUUUUCCUUCUGCACUGCCCUAGUAGAAGUUUGAUAUAAGGCUCUGCCUUUUUGGGAUGUUUUGCCUGGACACCCAGGAAUUUCCAUACAUCUUCCAAAAUCUAUAGAGAGGCUCCCAAGCCUCUAGUCUCACACUCCGUCCACCAGUGGCUUAACACUAUGAGGAUGUUACCAAGGUUUCUAGCCUGCAUCCUCUGAAGCAGUGACCUGAGCUGUACCUGUGCAUCUUUCAGCCAUGGCUGGAGCUUGAGCUGCAGGGAUGCAGGCAGCAGUGUUCUGAGGCUGCACAUAGAGGAGGCUCAUGGAACUGGCCAAGGAAACCAUGCUUCUCUCCUAGGCCCCAGGGCCCACAAUAGCAAGGGCUGCUGCAAAGGUCUCUGAAAUGCCUUCAAGGCCUUUUUCCCUAUUAUCUUGUCUAUUAGCACCGGGCUCCUUUUCAUGCAAGUUUCUGAAGCCUUCCUCAAUUUUCCCCCUGAAAAUCAGCUUUUCUUUUUGACCACUUGGCCAGGCUCCAAAUUUUCCUAAAUUUGAGUUCUGAGAGACGGGACUCAUUUAAUGUAAGUCCCAUCCAGAGGUUAUUUCCUCCAUCACACAUAAGAGCACAGGCUGUUCCAUGGGGACAGGACACCUCUUGAGAUUUGCUGCCCAGUUCAUUCCACCAGAUACUCAGUAAGUCAUCACCCUCAAGUUCAGUUUCACAGAUCUCCAGGGCAGGGUCACCGUGCAGCCACAUUCUUUGUUAAGGCAAAACAAAAGUCACUUUGGCUUCUGUUCCCAGUAAGUUCCUCAUUUUCAUUUGAGACCUUCUAAGUCUGGCUUUCACUCACCAUUUUCCUGUGAGCCUUCUGGUCACAAGUAUGUAACAAUUCUUUACAAAGAUCCAAACUUUCCCUCAACUUCUUGUCUGCAAAGCCCUCCAAACUCUCUGAACUCUGUCUGCUACCCCCUUCUGAACCUGCUUCUACAUUAUCAGCUAUCUUUGCUGCAGCCUGACAAUGUAGUAAGGGAAGACAAGUCCAUUUUCAGGGGGAAAAUUCAAGAAGGGUUCAGAGACUUGAAUGAAAAGAAGCUGAGUGCUCACUACCAAGACAAUAGGGAAAAGGCCUUGAAGACAUUUAAUAGACCCACUUUGCAGUACUAAUUUUCUCUAUGAUCAUAAAGAAGAGGUUUACUUGGCUCAUGAUUCUGCAGGCUAUAAGGAAGUAUAGUGGCUUCUACAUCUAAGAGGAAUCAGGAAGCCUCCCAGUCAUACCAGAAUGUCAAGGGGCAAUGAGAUGAUUCAUGUGGCAGGAGGAGGAGCAAGACAGGGAGAGGAGAGAGGUCCCACACCCUAUUAUACAACCAGAUCUCAUGAGAACUCACUAUCACAAGGUCAGCAUCACAAAGAUGGUGCUUAACCACUGGUGAAGGAUUCGCCCCCUACCCCCAACUCCCACUAUUUCCAGGCAGAAGCCUGAGGCAGAGGCAGAGCCUCUUGGAAAACUCUACUAGGGAAGUGCGGAAGGGAAAUAUGAGCUUGGAGCACCCACACAGAUGGCCACCAACCUCCAGACCCCAGAUUCAUAGACCCACCAACAGCUCACACCUUGUGUGGAAAAGCUACAGGCACUCAACACCAGCCCAGCCCAUGAGAGCUGCGGCAGGGGCUAAACCCUGCAAAGCCACAGGUGCAUUGCCCUAGUAGAGGGUUUCCCAUGAGCCUCUGCCUCUGCAGCAGGCUGCUCCCCCUUCCUCCCACCCACCACCCUCCCACCACCCUACUGCCAGCCUACUCCUCCCCACCCUAACCAACCCUUUUCCUUCCACCCCAACCCCUUCCAGUCCAUGAUUAAAUCAUCUCCCCCAGGCCCCAACUUCAACAUUUGGAAUUAAAAUUCCACAUGAAUUUUCAUAGGGACACACAGCCAAACCAUAUUAUUCUGACCCUGCUAUCCCAGAAUCUCAUGUCCUUAUCACAGAGUAAAAUACAAUCAUGCCUUUUCAAAAGUUCCAACAGCCUUAACUCAUUCCAAAUGUAAAAAGUUCAAAGUCUCACCUGAGACAAGGCUACUGUCCCUUCUGCAUAUGAGUCCCUGAAUUUAAAAGGGAUUUCUUUUCUUUCAAGGUACAAUGAUGGUACAGGCAUUGUGUAAGCUUUCUCAAUCCAAAGGGAAGAAAUUUCCCAUAAAAAUAACACAAAUGGGACCACAGGCCUAAUGGAAGUCCAAAACCCAGCAGGACAGUAUUCACUCAAUCUUUAAGCUCCAUAAUCAUCAAGAGAACUCACUAUCAUGCAGACAGCAUUAAGGAGAUAGUGAUUAACCAUUUGUGAAGAAUCCACCCCCCUAUCCUCAUCUUUCACCCCCACCCACAAAAUAAUCUCCCCCAUUCUCCCCAAACCCCUACUUCCAACCCCCACUCUUCUCCAUGAUUAAGUCACCUUCCACCAGGCUCCAACUUUAACAUUCCCCAUUACGAUUCCACAUGAGUAUUGGUAGGGACACAGAACCAAAUCAUAUUAUUCUGGCCUUUGGUCCCCAAAUCUUGUAUCCUUGUCACACUGCAAAAUACAAUGAUGACUUCUCUACUGUCCCCCAAUGACUUAACUCAUUCCAGCAUUUACUGAAAAGUCCAAGGACUUACAGACCCCAUGAAGUCAAAAACCCAGCAGGCCAGUCAUUGAAUCCUGCAGCUCCAAAUCAUCUUUUCUGAAUCUACAUCUCACAUCUAGAGCACAGGCAUGUGAUGGCUGGGCUCCCAAGGCCUUGGGCAACUCUGCACCUGUGGAUUUGCAUGAUAUAUCCCCCACAGCUGCCCUCAUGGGCUGGGCUGUGUUGAGUGCCUGUGGCUUUUCCACACUAAGGGUGCCAGCUGUUGGUGCAUCUAUGAAUCUAAGGUCUGGAGAAUGGUGUCUCCAUAUUUAGGGACUCCAACCCCAUUUUCUCCUUCUGUACUGCCCUGGUAAAGGUGUGCCAUGAGGCUCUGCCUCUUGGAAAAGCUUCUGCCUGAACACCCAGGUUUUUCCGUACAUACUCUGGAGUCUAGACACAGGCCCCCAAGCCUCUAGUUUUGUGCUCUGUGCAGCCGCUGGCUUAACACUAUGUGGAAGACACCAAGGCUUGGAACUUGCACCCCUGAAGCAGGGAUGCAAACUCUACCUGUGCAUCUUUCAGCCAUGACUGGAGUUGGAAAUGGAGCUGCAGGGAUGCCGGCAGCAGUGUCCUGAGGCUGCACAUAGAGGGGGCUCAUGGAACUGGCCCAGGAAACGAUGCUUCUCUCCUAGGCCCCAGGGCCUGUGACAGCAAGGGCUGCUGCAAAGGUCUCUGAAAUGCCUUCAAGGUCUUUUCCUUAUUGUCUUGGCUAUUAGCACCGGGCUCCUUUUCGUGCAAAUUCCUGAAGCCUUCUUGAAUUUUCCCACUGAAAAUCGGCUUUUCUUUCUGACCACUUGGCAAGGCUGCAAGUUUUCCAGACUUUUGAGUUCUGUUUCUCAUUUAAUAUAAGAGUUGUGACUCAUUUAAUGUAAGACCCAUCCAGAGGUCAUUUCCUCAGUCACACAAAAGGGCAAGGGCUGUUUCAUGCAGACAGGACACCUCUUGAGCUUUGCUGCCCAGAAGUUCAUUCCACCAGAUACUCACUAAGUCAUCACCCUCAAGUUCAAAGUUUCACAUAUCUCCAGGGCAGGGUCAAUGUGCAGCCACAUUCUUUGCUACAGCAAAACAAAACUAACCUUGGCUCCUAUUCCCAGUAAGUUCCUCAUCUUCAUCUGAGACCUUCUAAGUCUGAUCUUUACUGUCUAUUUUCCUGUGAGCCUUCUGAUCACAAGUAUUUAACAAUUCUUUACAAAGAUCCAAAUUUCCCCUCAAUUUCUUGUCUUGGAAGCCCUCCAAACUCUCCUGAACUCAGUCUGCUACCCCCUUCUGAACCUGUUCCUGCAUUAUCACCUAUCUUUGUCAAAGCCUGGCAAUGUGGUAUGGAAGACAAGUCCAUUUUCAGGGGGAAAAUUCAAGGAGGAUUCAGAGACUUGAAUGAAAAGAAGCUGAGUACUGAUAGCCAAGACAUGGGGGAAAAGGCCUUGAAGACACCUAAUAGAUCUUCUUUGCAUUAAAAAUGCUCUCAAUGAUCAAAAAGAAAAGAAGUUUAAUUGUUAAUGAUUCUGCAGGAUGUAAGGAGGCAUACUAGUUUCUGCAUCUCAGAGGACUCAGGAAGCCUCCCAAUCACACCAGAAUGUCAAGGGGCAAUGAGAUGUCUCAUAUGCCAGGAGCAGGAGCAAGCAUGAGAGAGGAAAAAGGUGUCAUGCCCUAUUAUACAACCAGAUCUCAUGAAAACUCACUAUCAUGAAGACAGCAUCAAGCACAUGCUGCCUAACCAUUGGUGAAGGAACUGCCUCCCACACCCACCUCCCACUGUUUCCAGGCAGCAGCCUGCUGCAGAUGCAGAGUUCUUGGGAAACCUCUACUAGGGCAGUGCAGAAGGAAAAUAUGGACUUGGAGCCCCCACAUAGGGGGCUACCACCGUCCAGACCCCAGAUUCACAGACCCACCAACAGCUGGCACCCUCAGUGAGGAAAAGCUACAGACCCUCAAUACCAGUCCCGCGCAUGAGAACAGCUGAGGAGCUAAACCCUGCAAACCACAGGUGCACUGCCCUAGUAGAGGGUUUUCCAUGAGUCCCUCACUCUGCAGCAGGCUACUCCUCCUUCCUACUACCACCCACCCUCCCACCACUCUACUACCGACCCACUCCUCCCAAUCCUACCCAUCCCUUUUACCUUCCACCACCACCAACCUCCCGUCCAUAAUUAAGUCACCCGCUUCAACAUUAGGGAUUACGAUUCCGCAUGAGAUUCAUAGGGACACACAGCCAAACCAUAUUAUUCUGACCCUGAUAUCCCAGAAUCUCAUGUCCUUAUCACAGAGCAAAAUGCAAUCAUGACUUUUCAAAAAUCUCCAAAAGUCUUAACGCAUUCCAAAUGUAAAAAAAUUCAAAGUCUCUCCUGAGACAAGGCUACAGUCUCUUCUGCCUAUGAGUCCCUGAAUUUAAAAUGGAGUUCUUUUCUUUCCAGGUACAAUGAUGGUACGGGCAUUGGGUAAGCUUUCUCAGUCCAAAGGGAAGAAAUUUCCCAUAAAAAUAGCACAAAUGGGCCCACAGGCCCAACACAAGUCCAAAACUCAGCGGGACAGUAUUCACUCAAUCCCACAGCUGCAAAUAUCAUCAAGAGAACUCACUAUCACGCAGGCGGCAUUAAGGAGAUAGUGUUUAAACAUUUGUGAAGGAUCUGCCCCCCUAACCUUACCUUUUACCCCCACCCACAAAAUAAUCUCCCCCAUUCUCCCCACACCCCUACCUCCAACGCCCACUCUUCUCCAUGAAUAAAUCACCUCACACCAGGCCCCACGUUUAACAUUCACCAUUACAAUUCCAAAUGAGUUUGGUAGGGAUGCAGACCCAAAUCGUAUUAUUCUGACCCUGACCCCCCAUAUCUCAUGUUGUUCUCACACUGCAAAAUACAAUGAUGCCUACUCUACAGUUUCCCAAUGUCUUAGCUCAUUCCAGCAUUUACUGAAAUGUCCAAAGCCCAAAGUCUCUUCUGAGACAAGACUGCCAUCCCUUCUGCCCCUGAGCCUCUGAAAUACAAAGCAAGUUAAUUACCUCCAAGGUAUGACUGUCCAGGCAUUGAGUAAGAACCUCCACCCGAAAGGAAGAUUUUUUGCCAGAGAGAAGAACAAAACACAAACGGGACUUACAGGUUCCCAUGACAUUCCAAAACCCAGCAGGCCAGUUAUUCAAACCUACAGCUCCAAAAUCAUCCUUUUUAAGUCCUUGUCCCACAUCUAGGACACAAGGGCGUGAGGGCUGGGCUCCCAAGGCCUUGGGCAGCUCUGUACCUGUGGCUUUGCAGUGUUCAGCCCCCGCAGCUGCCCUCAUGGGCUGGGCUAGUGUUGAGCACCUGUAGCUUUUCCACAAUGAAGAUGCAAGAUGUUAGUGAGUCUAUGAAUCUGACGUUUCAGAAUGGUGCUCCCUGUGUGGUGGUUCCAACCCUAUAUGUUCCUUCCAUACUGCCCUAGUAAAGGAUUCCCAUGAGGCUCUGCCUCUUUGAAUAGUUUCGACCUGGACACCCAGGUUUUUCUGUAAAUCCUCUGUAGUCUACAUGAAGGAUUCUGAGCCUCUAGUCUUGGCCUUUUUGCACCUGCUGGCUCAACACUAUGUGGAAGCCACCAAGGCUUGCAGCUUGCAACCUCUGAAGCAGUGACCCAAGAUGUACCUUUGUAUCUGUCAGCCAUGGUUGGAGCUGGAGCUUCAGGUAUGCAGCCAGCAGUGUCCUGAGGAUGGACACAGCAGCAGGGCCAUGGGACUGGAUAAGGAAAUCAUUCUUUUCUCCCAGGCCUGGGGGCCUGUGACAGCAAGGGUUGCUGCAAAAGUCUCUGAAGUGCCUUCAAGGCCUUUUUAUCCUUGUCUUGGCUAUUAGCACUCAAUUCCAUUUUAUGCACAUUUCUGAAAUCUUCUUGAACUUUCCCACGGAAAAUCAGCUUUUCUUUUUGACCACUUGGCCAGCCUGCAAAUUUUCCAAACUUUUAAGCUCUCCGUCUCAUUUAAAUAUAAGUUUCACCUUGAGGUCAUUUCUUUGGUCACAUAUAAGACACCUCAGGGUGUUUGGCACAGACCAGACACCUCUUGAGCUUUGCUGCCUAAAAGUUCAUUCCACCAGAUACACUCUAAAUCAUCACUCUCAAGUUCAAAGUUUCACAGAUCUCCAGGUUAACGGCAUCGUGCAGUAACGUUCUUUGCUAAGGGAAAACAAAAGUGACCUUGGCUCCUCAUCCCAGCAAGCUCCUCAUUUUCAUGUGAGACCUUCUAAGCCUGGCCAUCACUGUCCAUCAUUCUGUCAUCUUUUUAAUUAUAACUAUUUAACAAGUCUCUACACUGGUCCAAACUUUUCCACAUCUUCCUGUCUUCUUCCAACACCUCCAAACUCUCCAACCUCUGGCCGUUACACACUUCUCAACCUGCUUCUACAUUUUCAGCUAUGUUUGUUGCAGCCUGGCAAUGUGGUAAAAGAAGCAAAGUCUGUUUCAGGAGAAAAAUUCAGGCAGGCUUCAGAUAUUUGCCGGAAAAGAAGCUGAGUGCUCAUUGCCAAGAAAAUAAGGAAAAGGCCUUGAAGGCAUUUCAUAGCUCCAUUUCACAGCACUAAUUUUCUGUAUAAUCAGAAAGAAAAGAGGUUGAACUGGCUCAUGGUUCUGCACGCUUUAAAUAAAUCAUAGAGGCUACUGCAUCUGGGAGGACUCAGGAAGCCUCCCAAUCAUUCCAGAAGACCAAGCACCAAUAGUAUGUUUUAUAUGGCAGAAGUAGAAACAAGACAGAGAGAGGAAAAAGGUGCCACACCCUGUUAUACAACCAGAUUUCCUGAGAACUCUCUAACACAAGGUCAGCAUCAAGAAUGCUUAACCAUUGGUGGAGCCAUUGGUGAAAGAUCUGCCCCCUACCACCCACAACCCCCACUGUUUCCAAGCAGAAGCCUGAGGCAGAGGCAGAGCUACUAGGAAAACCUCUACUAGGACAAAGCAGAAAAAAAACAAAAAACAAAAAAAAAGGCUUGGUGGCCCCACACAAGAGGUUACCAUCCUCCAGACUCUCUAACCUCUGGCCAUUACCCAAUUCAGAACUGGCUUCUACAUUGUCAGCUAUCUGUGUCACAGCCUGGCAAUGUGGUAAAAGAAGAAGGGUCCAUUAUCAAGGGAAAAAUCAAGAAGGCCUCCAAUAUUUGCAUUAAAAAAAACAGUGCUAACAGCCAAGAGAUUGCGGGAAAGGCCUAGAAGGCAUUUCAUAUCUUCACCUUGCAGCAUUGAU
rnacentral:lncRNA from 1 species